CCAAAGGUUUUUUUUAAAACCCUAAAUAGACUAUAUCUGUUUAAAG
rfam:Corvus brachyrhynchos isolate BGI_N302 unplaced genomic scaffold scaffold114, whole genome shotgun sequence.